ACUGAACGCUGGCGGCAGGCUUAACACAUGCAAGUCGAGCCGAGAUGAGGUGCUUGCACCUUAUCUUAGCGGCGGACGGGUGAGUAAUGCUUAGGAAUCUGCCUAUUAGUGGGGGACAACAUUCCGAAAGGAAUGCUAAUACCGCAUAAGCCCUACGGGGGAAAGCAGGGGAUCUUCGGACCUUGCGCUAAUAGAUGAGCCUAAGUCGGAUUAGCUAGUUGGUGGGGUAAAGGCCUACCAAGGCGACGACCUGUAGCGGGUCUGAGAGGAUGAUCCGCGACACUGGGACUCAGACACGGCACAGACUCCUACGGGAGGCAGCAGUGGUGAAUAUUGUGUAAUGGGCGGAAGCCUGAUCCAGCCAUGCCGCGUGUGUGAAGACGGCCUUUUGGUUGUAAAGCACUUUAAGCGAGGAGGAGGCUACCUGGAUUAAUACUCUAGGAUAGUGGACGUUACUCGCAGAAUAAGCACCGGCUAACUCUGUGCCAGCCGCCGCCGUAACAC
rnacentral:rRNA from 1 species